rnacentral:lncRNA from 1 species
AGGUUCAAGUGAUUCUCCUGCCUCAGCCUACCCAGUAGGCAGGAUUAUAGGCACGCGCCACCAUGCCCAGCUAAUGUUUUGUAUCUUUAGUAGAGAUGGGGUUUCACCAUGUUGGCCAGGCUGGUCUUGAACUCCUGACCUUGUGAUCCGCCCACCUUGCCCUCCCAAAGUGCUGGGAUUAAAGGCGUGAGCCACGGUGCCCGGACAGAAUAUUUUUAAAUAUUGAUUUAGCCAUCCAAUAACUUUACUGCUUCUCCUACCUCCUUCCCGUGUCCUUUGUACAAUGUCAUGAGAUAUGUCGGCAGAGGCUCCAUCCUGGAUAUCUGUAGCUUUUCCCUGCCUAUCCAGAAACGACCCUCCUUGUUCUGGCCAGACCACCUCAGUUUCCUCAGAAGAGCCUCUGUUCCCUUGCUCUCCACUCAAGUAGUAUGAGUGGGGCUGACCCCUACUCCUGUGCAGAUCUGAUCAAUCCAGUUAUUCCAACAAUCUGGCCUCAGAGAUUGGUUCCAGGGGAUGAACACACAGGUGCAUCAGUCCAUUCAGAACAAAUCCUGGGGCUUUUGCUGAAAGUAUUGAAAGAGAAGAUCCUUUUUUCCAUGGGGGCUGCUAAGCUGAGACAAUAUAAGCCUAGAGCUCUUGGAGGACACUCUGUAAAAAGAACCUAAUCUGAGGCCAGGCGUGGUGGCUCACGCCUG